rnacentral:lncRNA from 1 species
CGAUUUGGACUAUUACAAUAUACGGUUUAUUUACUAAAUAUAUUUGCAAUACAAACGCUUUUCCUUAUCCUAUCUUCUUCUUUUUCCACCCUUUUCAGUUUUUCAUCACUUCUUCUCUCUAAUUUUCAGUGGACAACAAUGGCACCAUCAACCUUAUCUACCAUCACUCUUUGGUCAUCCUCUUUUCCUGCACCAUCCUCUGCCUUUCUUUCCUACGCACCCCUCAGUUACCUUUCCCGAGCAAACCCUAGAAUUCCC